GCUCCGGUGGCACAAUCGGUUAGCGCGCCGUACUUAUAAUGCGGAGGUUGUGAGUUCGAGCCUCACCCGGAGCA
rnacentral:tRNA from 2 species